rnacentral:rRNA from 1 species
AACGAACGCUGGCGGCAUGCCUAACACAUGCAAGUCGAACGAGACCUUCGGGUCUAGUGGCGCACGGGUGCGUAACGCGUGGGAACCUGCCCUUAGGUUCGGAAUAACUCCCCGAAAGGGGUGCUAAUACCGGAUAAUGUCUUCGGACCAAAGAUUUAUCGCCUUUGGAUGGGCCCGCGUUGGAUUAGCUAGUUGGUAGGGUAAAAGCCUACAAAGGCGACGAUCCAUAGCUGGUCUGAGAGGAUGAUCAGCCACACUGGGACUGAGACACGGCCCAGACUCCUACGGGAAGUAGCAGUGGGGAAUAUUGGACAAUGGGCGAAAGCCUGAUCCAGCAAUGCCGCGUGAGUGAUGAAGGCCUUAGGGUUGUAAAGCUCUUUUACCCGGGAUGAUAAUGACAGUACCGGGAGAAUAAGCUCCGGCUAACUCCGUG